UCAUUACUGCAGAGGGGUUUUUUUUUCUCUCUCUCUUCUCCUCCUCCUCCUCCUCCUCCUCCUUGGUAAAUAAAUCUCCUUCUUGAAACUCCGCCAUUAGACAUCAUCCAUCUCCAGAUGAGAAGCAAAAGGUCGGGCGCUGAGCCCAGCAACAAUACAUAAAUUAAUUAAAGUUUCCAAGAAGGGAGGUGAAAAAACAGGACGCCAAAAACAAAGCUUAGCUGGAAUUGCCACCGGAGGAAUGUCAGCCGAUAAGACCAGGGAUGCUGUGAGGCCCCAGGUGGGCCGGGAAGUUCAACCAGCUCAGACAGUACCGAACAGAGAUUAUGGAUAAAUGCUCACUUAAAAUGACAAGAGACUGAAAAUAGAAAUAGAAAGAUUUUUCAGCGAUGUGUGGAAACCUGGAAGAAGACGAGGACCGGAGGGAAAUUAAAAUAAACCCAAGACUUUGGAAAUGAUGUUUUGACAUUCUACACAGUGUGAGGAAUGAAAAUAAAUCUUAAAUUGUAGAAA